CUGGCUCAUUUCCAGCCUUGCAAAAAAAUUCUCUAUGGGCACUCUUUUCUAAGCUGGAGGAAUUAGACUCACCACCAGAAGAAAAAGGGAAGAGGGCCAAUUUCUUUCAUCUUCUAGAAGAAUAGAAAGACAACGAAUGCGAUUGCACAAAGUUAUUUGGUUCACCAGCCUAAGGGAUGCAAAUUGGUCCUACUGCCAUUCAGUAUAUUGAAGAAGUCUCUUAUUUGGAAUUUGAAAUUGUGACAAGAAACCCCAUUCUAGGAAGGAAGCAUCUUGAUAAGUGAAAGGGAUUUAUUUUGGGCUCACCGUUGUUGAGAGAAAACAAGAUGGAGUAAGACUCGAGCAAGCUGGGACAGGAAGUAAAAAUCAAGCCAAGAAGGAAUUCUGCCAAGCACAAUGCACACCCUGCCUAAAAAUAUUUAAGAAUAAAUCAUAGAGUGUGGAGUGUA